AUGAAUGGACCUGGAAGAAGUGCUGGUUAAAAGGCGGAAGAGAGAAAUGACGUCAGGGCACAUGAGCAGAGAGAGCAGAGGGAUGCCAACGGCCAAAUAAUCGUUUAAAAUCCGCUGUAGGGAAACUCUGAAUAUGGAAGUCCAGCGGAGGUUCCUGCAGCAUGGGACACGGUAUUGAAAAACAAGAAAAACUAUAUAAAUAUGGUAUCACUGUUGUGUCGUACUGAGAAUGAAGGCAACAGACCCCCAUCCCCACAGGCCAUCUGUUGCAUAACUUGUGUGUAGAAGAUAAGGACAUAAACCACCAUUUACUGAGAUUAGAACAAGGCAAAGAACUAAAUACCAGUGAGUACACAACCUCCUACCAUAGCCUGAUACAGGAACACAUAUAAGGCUGUUAUAAGGGAUUUACAGCAUUC